rnacentral:tRNA from 1 species
AAAGACUACAUUAUAGAGCUGCUAACUCUAAUAUAAUGAUUAAUCAUUUAGUCUUUA